UUUUCUUCGCUGUCUUCGCCGGCGACUCCCUUUCCUCUUCCUCAUUCAGCCUCGGCGUCUGCGGGAGUAAGACACUAGCUGAGUCAACAGACGCUUAUAUAGCGCCUUGUUUGGUGGAAGAGGUAUUUGCAUAUUCACCAUGAGUGGAAGACUUGCAAGUGGACCACGGAAGUGGAGUCCAAUAUGUGAUGGAAGAUUUUGCACAAGGAACAGUUGGCUUAUUCGUGUACCUGAGGAAGUUGCAACCAGAUCAGGAGGCUAGCAUUUAUAGCUAUGGAUCAUGAGGAAUAAGCAAGACCAGUGCAACUUUAACCUGUACCUGAAUAAGGUGUACAUGUUCAGAGGCCAGUUCUUUACACAAGGGACCGAGUGCUUGUUCUCAACCAAGUUGCAUGCAAGUCGGAAGACUAGUUUACAUCACUAUAGAUCAGGCA